AGAGUUUGAUCAUGGCUCAGAGCGAACGUUAGCGGCGNNNCUAACACAUGCAAGUCGCACGAGAAAGGGCUUCGGCCCCGGUAAAGUGGCGCACGGGUGAGUAACACGUGGGUAACCUUCCCCAGAGUGGUGGAUAACCUGCCGAAAGGCGGGCUAAUACAGCAUACGACCGGCUGUCUUCGGACGGUUGGUGAAAGCAGGCCUCUGUACACAAGCUUGCGCUCGAGGAUGGGCCCGCGUCCCAUCAGCUAGUUGGUGAGGUAACGGCUCACCAAGGCUACGACGGGUAGCUGGUCUGAGAGGAUGGCCAGCCACACUGGAACUGAGACACGGUCCAGACUCCUACGGGAGGCAGCAGUGGGGAAUCUUGCGCAAUGGACGAAAGUCUGACGCAGCGACGCCGCGUGGGCGACGAAGGCCUUCGGGUUGUAAAGCCCUGUGGGGCGGGACGAACACUUUCUGGUCAAAUAGGCCAGGGAGCUGACGGUACCGCCUUAGCAAGCACCGGCUAACUCUGUGCCAGCAGCCGCGGUAAGACAGAGGGUGCAAACGUUGCUCGGAAUUACUGGGCGUAAAGCGCGUGUAGGCGGUUCCGCAAGUCAGGUGUGAAAGCCCAGGGCUCAACCCUGGAAGUGCACUUGAUACUACGGAGCUUGAGUACUGAAGAGGAGAGCGGAAUUCCCGGUGUAGAGGUGAAAUUCGUAGAUAUCGGGAGGAACACCAGUGGCGAAGGCGGCUCUCUGGGCAGAUACUGACGCGAGACGCGAAAGCAUGGGGAGCAAACAGGAUUAGAUACCCUAGUAGUCC
rnacentral:rRNA from 1 species